UACGGGGGGGGCGAGCGUUGUUCGGAAUCACUGGGCGUAAAGGGCGCGUAGGCGGCCCGCACAAGUCUGCGGUGAAAACCCCCGGCUUAACCGGGGGCCCGGCCGUGGAAACUGUCGGGCUAGAGGCCGGGAGAGGGCAGCGGAAUUCCCGGUGUAGCGGUGAAAUGCGUAGAGAUCGGGAGGAACACCGGCGGCGAAGGCGGCUGCCUGGACCGGCCCUGACGCUGAGGCGCGAAAGCUAGGGGAGCAAACAGG
rnacentral:rRNA from 1 species